rnacentral:rRNA from 1 species
UAGCGGCGAGCGAACGGGGAGGAGCCCAGAGCCUGAAUCAGUGUGUGUGUUAGUGGAAGCGUCUGGAAAGGCGCGCGAUACAGGGUGACAGCCCCGUACACAAAAAUGCACAUACUGUGAGCUCGAUGAGUAGGGCGGGACACGUGGUAUCCUGUCUGAAUAUGGGGGGACCAUCCUCCAAGGCUAAAUACUCCUGACUGACCGAUAGUGAACCAGUACCGUGAGGGAAAGGCGAAAAGAACCCCGGCGAGGGGAGUGAAAAAGAACCUGAAACCGUGUACGUACAAGCAGUGGGAGCCUCUUUUAUGGGGUGACUGCGUACCUUUUGUAUAAUGGGUCAGCGACUUAUAUUCUGUAGCAAGGUUAACCGAAUAGGGGAGCCGAAGGGAAACCGAGUCUUAACUGGGCGUUAAGUUGCAGGGUAUAGACCCGAAACCCGGUGAUCUAGCCAUGGGCAGGUUGAAGGUUGGGUAACACUAACUGGAGGACCGAACCGACUAAUGUUGAAAAAUUAGCGGAUGACUUGUGGCUGGGGGUGAAAGGCCAAUCAAACCGGGAGAUAGCUGGUUCUCCCCGAAAGCUAUUUAGGUAGCGCCUCGUGAAUUCAUCUCCGGGGGUAGAGCACUGUUUCGGCAAGGGGGUCAUCCCGACUUACCAACCCGAUGCAAACUGCGAAUACCGGAGAAUGUUAUCACGGGAGACACACGGCGGGUGCUAACGUCCGUCGUGAAGAGGGAAACAACCCAGACCGCCAGCUAAGGUCCCAAAGUCAUGGUUAAGUGGGAAACGAUGUGGGAAGGCCCAGACAGCCAGGAUGUUGGCUUAGAAGCAGCCAUCAUUUAAAGAAAGCGUAAUAGCUCACUGGUCGAGUCGGCCUGCGCGGAAGAUGUAACGGGGCUAAACCAUG